rnacentral:rRNA from 1 species
CACGUAGGGCGCAAGCGUUGUCCGGAAUUAUUGGGCGUAAAGAGCUCGUAGGCGGUCUGUUGCGUCCGCUGUGAAAACUCAGGGCUUAACCCUGAGCCUGCUUCCGAUACGGGCAGACUAGAGGUAUGCAGGGGAGAAUGGAAUUCCCGGUGUAGCGGUGAAAUGCGCAGAUAUCGGGAGGAACACCAGCAGCGAAGGCGGCACUCUGGGCCGGUACUGACGCUGAGGAGCGAAAGCGUGGGGAGCGAACAGG